rnacentral:rRNA from 1 species
UGGGGAAUCAUGGUCAAUGGGCGAAAGCCUGAACCUGCGACGCCGCGUGAGUGCUGAAGGUCGUAAGAUCGUAAAACUCUUUUCAGGGAUCUUAAAGUACAACCGUCAACAACGGCUGUGUGUGACUCUCCCUGGAAGAAGCCCCAGCCAACUACGUGCCAGCAGCUGCUGUAAUACGUAGGGGGAGAGCGCUAUUCGGAAUUACUGGUUGUAAAGGGUAUGUAGGCGGCCCUUCAAGUCGCGGGUCAAAGUGCAG